CCUACGGGAGGCAGCAGUCGGGAAUAUUGCUCAAUGGGGGAAACCCUGAAGCAGCAACGCCGCGUGGAGGAUGAAGGUUUUCGGAUUGUAAACUCCUUUUGUUAGAGAAGAUAAUGACGGUAUCUAACGAAUAAGCACCGGCUAACUCCGUGCCAGCAGCCGCGGUAAUACGGAGGGUGCAAGCGUUACUCGGAAUCACUGGGCGUAAAGAGCUCGUAUGCGGGAUAGCAAGUCAGAUGUGAAAUCCUAUGGCUUAACCAUAGAACUGCAUUUGAAACUGUUAUUCUAGAGUAUGGGAGAGGUAGGUGGAAUUCUUGGUGUAGGGGUAGAAUACGUAGAGAUCAAGAGGAAUACUCAUUGCGAAGGCGACCGGCUAGAACAUAACUGACGCUGAUGCGCGAAAGCGUGGGGAGCAAACAGGAUUAGAUACCCGAGUAGUC
rnacentral:rRNA from 1 species